GUCAACAUACCAUAAUUGUGGAGACCAUGAUCCCCUUUUCACUACUUUGUCCCCCUAAUUUUCCAAUUUCUCCAUUUUUGCCUUAUGAAUGGUUUAUUAAACCUAGAAAAGGUUGACUACACUUUUUCCAUCCAUUCUCUCACUCUCCUCCCUUCAUUGCCCAACCACCCUUUUCUCUUCUCUAUUUCCUCUCAUUUCUCUUUUGUUUAUCUCUCAACCUCCCUUUGUUUCUUUCUUUUUCUCUUUUUCCUUCAUCAUUCCUAGCUUUACAUCACCAUCACCACACCACCUACCCACUACCUUAUCACCUCUCCCCUCUCAUUUUUUCUCCAAAUGCUGCCCUUAGCGUAUCUGCCACCACCGUGCCAACCAUUGCGCACCACACAACUUCUUCCUUUUUUCUUAUUUUCUUUCUCUUCUCAUUUCUCAUCUUUUAAGAGAGAGAUCGAACAUAUUCUUUCCUUCUC
rnacentral:lncRNA from 1 species